ensembl:misc_RNA Y_RNA Y RNA
GGCUGGUCCAAGGUAGUGAGUUAUCUCAGUUGAUUGUUCACAGUCAGGUACAGAUCAAACUCCUUGUUUUGCUCUUUCCCCGCUUUCCAAAACUACUGGACUUGCCUAGU